UGGGGAAUUUUGGACAAUGGGCGAAAGCCUGAUCCAGCCAUGCCGCGUGCGGGAAGAAGGCCUUCGGGUUGUAAACCGCUUUUGUCAGGGAAGAAAUCUUUCGAGCUAAUACCUUGAGAGGAUGACGGUACCUGAAGAAUAAGCACCGGCUAACUACGUG
rnacentral:rRNA from 1 species